GAUGAACGCUGGCGGCGUGCUUAACACAUGCAAGUCGAACGGAAAGGCUCCUGCUUGCCGGGGUGCUCGAGUGGCGAACGGGUGAGUAACACGUGGGUAAUCUGCCCCGCACUUCGGGAUAAGCCUAGGAAACUGGGUCUAAUACCGGAUAGGACCGUGGGUUGGAUGGCGUGGUGGAGAGAGUUUUCGGGGUGGGAUGGGCUCGCGGGCUAUCAGCUUGUUGGGGGGGGGAUGGCCUACCAAAGCGUCGACGGGUAUCCGGCCUGGGAGGGUGUACGGCCAAAUUGGGACUGGGGUACGGCCCAGACCCCUACGGGAGGCAGGAGGGGGGAAUUUUGCACAAUGGGGGCAAGCCCGAUGCAGCGAAGCCGCGUGGCGGAUGACCGCCUUCGGGUUGGAAACCCCCUUCGCUCUGGACGAAGCGUUAUGUGACGGUACCUAGAGAAGAAGCACCGGCUAACUACGUG
rnacentral:rRNA from 1 species